CACAGCCAUCCUGGGGUCACACAGUGCAUCACUCACGUGGGUGCAGUAAUGCUGGUGUGAACAAACCUGCUGCGUGGCUGGCAUGACCAAAGGCCGCUGUAGGCGGUGAUCAUCCCCAAUCACGGCCCUCGACCGGAGCGCACUUCCCCGCAUCUGGAGCCAUCUGCAUCUGUCUCCUUUGCAGUCUGCCGGUAAUUGGGUCUGAAAUCACACGCGUCCCACUCAGCUACAUUUACAUUUCCUUCUUGCGCUGUUUUUAUAUCCAGAGCUGUUGAAACCACUCCUAGGAUGAAUUUCUAAACUUAGACCAUCUCAUCCUCAAACGGCAAGAAAGAAAGUGUGAUGUGUCUGUGAAUCUGCUGAAUGGGCCGAGGGGUGUUUUUAAAAGAUCAUAUUGCGGGGAAGAAGCAGGCACUGCAGAAACCUAUGGAUUGGGGUGCUAAAACCUACGAGCUUCCCGGGAAGCUGCCUUUUGGGAGCCCGAACUAUCCCAGAACCUUUUCCUAGUAGCAGAUCACAAUCACCGUCUCUUCUGUGAGCCCGCUUCAAGCCAGCAAUGAAAGGACACUUCUGCACGCCAGCAGCAGGAGUAGGAAACCCCACUCUCCCUACAACAUAAGGGCUACACAUUUGAGAUCCUCUCAGAGGACUUUUUAAAAAAAUAACAUCUUUCAUUUAUGCUUGAGCAGGGAGAAGAGUCAUUAAAAAGAAGAGAUUUUUAAAA